rnacentral:tRNA from 1 species
CUGGGUUGGCCGAGUGGUUAAGGCGUUGGACUUAAGUUCCAAUGGACAAGUGACCGCGUGGGUUCGAACCCCCACCACCCAG